rnacentral:rRNA from 1 species
AGAGUUUGAUCCUGGCUCAGGACGAACGCUGGCGGCGUGCCUAAUACAUGCAAGUCGAGCGAACAGAAGGGAGCUUGCUCCCGGAUGUUAGCGGCGGACGGGUGAGUAACACGUGGGUAACCUGCCUGUAAGACUGGGAUAACUCCGGGAAACCGGAGCUAAUACCGGAUAGUUCCUUGAACCGCAUGGUUCAAGGAUGAAAGACGGUUUCGGCUGUCACUUACAGAUGGACCCGCGGCGCAUUAGCUAGUUGGUGGGGUAACGGCUCACCAAGGCGACGAUGCGUAGCCGACCUGAGAGGGUGAUCGGCCACACUGGGACUGAGACACGGCCCAGACUCCUACGGGAGGCAGCAGUAGGGAAUCUUCCGCAAUGGACGAAAGUCUGACGGAGCAACGCCGCGUGAGUGAUGAAGGUUUUCGGAUCGUAAAGCUCUGUUGUUAGGGAAGAACAAGUGCAAGAGUAACUGCUUGCACCUUGACGGUACCUAACCAGAAAGCCACGGCUAACUCCGUGCCAGCAGCCGCGGUAAU